AACACCUCAAAUCUCUACUUUAUUGUAAAGAAUUGGACUUGAGCAAUCCCAACUUUCGCAAGAGAGGCGGGUUGCUUGAAAUGCAGGUGCAGCUAGACAUUCUUCUGAGCUAAAAGCAUAUUUAUUUAGUCCCGUCAAAUGGAUUAUUACUUUUUGCUCUAGCUAAUAUAAAGGUCGAGUGCGCUACUAUGCUGACUGAUGCAGGAUUCACAAAGCCGUUCUGGUUUUGUAA
rnacentral:misc_RNA from 1 species